rnacentral:tRNA from 2 species
GCUCUUGUAGCUCAGUGGUAGAGCGCGUCCUUGGUAAGGACGAGGUCGGCGGUUCAAAUCCGCUCAAGAGCUCCA